rnacentral:rRNA from 1 species
AUUGAACGCUGGCGGCAGGCCUAACACAUGCAAGUCGAGCGGAGCGGCCGACGGGCGCGUAAUUCCUAUGAAUCUGCCUGGUCGUGGGGGAUACCGUCCGGAAACGGGCGCUAAUACCUCCCACUAUCAGAUGGGCCUAGCCAGGAUUAGCUAGUUGGUGGGGUAAAGGCUUACCAAGGCGACGAUCCGUACCUGGGCUGAGAGGAUGAUCAGUCACACUGGAACUGAGACACGGUCCAGACUCCUACGGGAGGCAGCAGUGGGGAAUAUUGGACAAUGGGCGAAAGCCUGAUGCAGCCAUGCCGCGUGUGUGAAGAAGGUCUUCGGGUUGUAAAGUACUUUAAGUUGGGAGGCGUUACCAACAGAAGAAGCACCGGCUAACUUCGUGCCAGCAGCCGCGGUAAUUC